rnacentral:rRNA from 1 species
GAGUUUGAUCAUGGCUCAGGAUGAACGCUGGCGGCGUGCUUAACACAUGCAAGUCGAACGAACCUUCGGGUUAGUGGCGGACGGGUGAGUAACGCGUGGGAAUCUGCCCUCAGGAGGGGGAUAACGGUUGGAAACGACCGCUAAUACCCCAUAUGCCGAGAGGUGAAAUGAAUUUCGCCUGAGGAUGAGCCCGCGUCUGAUUAGCUUGUUGGUGAGGUAAUGGCUCACCAAGGCAUCGAUCAGUAGCUGGUCUGAGAGGAUGAUCAGCCACACUGGGACUGAGACACGGCCCAGACUCCUACGGGAGGCAGCAGUGGGGAAUUUUCCGCAAUGGGCGAAAGCCUGACGGAGCAACGCCGCGUGAGGGACGAAGGCCUCUGGGCUGUAAACCUCUUUUCUCAAGGAAGAAGAUAUGACGGUACUUGAGGAAUAAGCCACGGCUAAUUCCGUGCCAGCAGCCGCGGUAAUACGGGAGUGGCAAGCGUUAUCCGGAAUUAUUGGGCGUAAAGCGUCCGCAGGCGGCCCUUCAAGUCUGCUGUUAAAACGUGGAGCUUAACUCCAUCAUGGCAGUGGAAACUGAUUGGCUUGAGUAUGGUAGGGGCAGAGGGAAUUCCCGGUGUAGCGGUGAAAUGCGUAGAUAUCGGGAAGAACACCAGUGGCGAAGGCGCUCUGCUGGGCCAUUACUGACGCUCAUGGACGAAAGCCAGGGGAGCGAAAGGGAUUAGAUACCCCUGUAGUCCUGGCCGUAAACGAUGAACACUAGGUGUCGGGGGAAUCGACCCCUUCGGUGUCGUAGCUAACGCGUUAAGUGUUCCGCCUGGGGAGUACGCACGCAAGUGUGAAACUCAAAGGAAUUGACGGGGGCCCGCACAAGCGGUGGAGUAUGUGGUUUAAUUCGAUGCAACGCGAAGAACCUUACCAGGGCUUGACACCCUGCGAACCUUUAAGAAAUUAGAGGGUGCCUUCGGGAACGCAGUGACAGGUGGUGCAUGGCUGUCGUCAGCUCGUGUCGUGAGAUGUUGGGUUAAGUCCCGCAACGAGCGCAACCCACGUUUUUAGUUGCCAGCAUUUAGUUGGGCACUCUAGAAAGACCGCCGGUGAUAAACCGGAGGAAGGUGUGGAUGACGUCAAGUCAUCAUGCCCCUUACGUCCUGGGCUACACACGUACUACAAUGCUACGGACAAAGGGCAGCAAACUCGCGAGAGCUAGCAAAUCCCAUAAACCGUGGCUCAGUUCAGAUCGUAGGCUGCAACUCGCCUACGUGAAGUAGGAAUCGCUAGUAAUCGCAGGUCACCAUACUGCGGUGAAUACGUUCCCGGGCCUUGUACACACCGCCCGUCACACCAUGGAAGUUGGCCACGCCCGAAGUCGUUACUUUAACCCUUGUGGAGAAGGACGCCGAAGGUGGGGCUGAUGACUGGGGUGAAGUCGUAACAAGGUAACC